rnacentral:rRNA from 1 species
UUUUAUUAUUAGUUUAGAUUUAUUAAUCUUUAAUUGAUUUAUUAAUAUACUUUAUUGAAUAUAUAUUUAUAGGUAAUUAUGAUUAAAUUAGUAUAAUUUUUUGUAAGAUUAAUUAAAUUUUUAAGUUAAAAUUAAGGAAUUCGGCAAAUUUGUUUUCUGCCUGUUUAUUAAAAACAUGUCUUUUAGUAAUUAUUUGAAGUCGGGCCUGCCCUAUGAUUAUUUAAAUGGCCGCGGUAUUUUGACCGUGCAAAGGUAGCAUAAUAAUUAGUUUCUUAAUUGGAAGCUGGUAUGAAUGGUUUGACAAGAAAACUUCUGUCUCUAUUUUAUUAUUAGAAUUUAACUUUUGAGUCAAAAGGCUUAAAUGUUUUUAAAAGACGAGAAGACCCUAUAGAAUUUUAUAUUUAACUUAAUUAAAAUUUUAUGGAUUAUUUAUUUUUAAUGAAUUUAAUUAUUUUGUUGGGGUGAUGGAAAAACUUAAUUAACUUUUUCUAUUUAUAUUCAUUAAUUUAUGA